rnacentral:rRNA from 1 species
CGUUCGCGCUUCCGCCGGCGACCGGCGCACGGGUGAGUAACACGUAUGGAACCUGCCCGCAGCAGGGGAUAAUCGGGGAAACCCCGUCUAAUACCGCGUAACGACCCGGAGGGGCAUCCCUUCGGGUCCAAAGGUUUACCGGCUGCGGAUGGCCAUGCGUCGCAUUAGCUUGUUGGCGGGGUAACGGCCCACCAAGGCGACGAUGCGUAGGGGUUCUGAGAGGAAGGUCCCCCACACUGGUACUGAGACACGGACCAGACUCCUACGGGAGGCAGCAG